rnacentral:lncRNA from 1 species
UCAGCGUGGGUAUCCGAAGGUGGCCCUCGCUGAAGGAACCCUCUAAAACUUCGCCCGGCGUCGCAGAAAUGCUGGUGCUGAGACUGGGAUGAUGAUCCAACGCCAAGUCAGCACGACGGAAACGGAGCUCCUCCCGAAAGACGAAACGGGUUUACCGAGUCUUUGCCUCCCAGCAUUAGUCACACGCCACCUCCUCCUGAGGCCUGUGACCGUGUCUGCGGCAGGACAUCGAGGCUGCUUUUGGGGGAUGAAGGCGAGAUACGGGUUUGAGAAGCAGUUGUUUAUUUCUGUUGGUCGGACCUCAAGACAGUAUUUGUAAGACAACCUGGAAAUAAAGAUGUUUUGGACUCAGGAGCAACAAAAGUUAGGUUUGUGUGUUACAGGGUGACUGCAGGACAUUGGGACGUGUUUCCACAAGAUCCCUGCCAGGCUGGCAUUCGGUACCAGCACCAUCUCAAAACGUGCCUCAUACGCGGCUCAGAAUGACGACCUCCCCAGCCGAAGCGAGUCACUUAAUCAAAGAGAGAAGCUGGAAAACAACUGCAUCUGGGGGAAAGCUCUGGCAACUGCCAACGGAAGAGGCUCAUCAGAGCGUGAGCGGUGAUCGUGACACAGGUGACGAGAACCCCCCCGUCAGGCCUCCCAGGACGGCUGUGCCAUCACCACACGGAAGCACCUUCUCGGACCAUCUCCUCCAACCUCCACCACCCCACACAGAAGGGACGAGCAGGUCUCCACGACAGCUGGGGCACUGGGGGAGCAGGUGAGAGGCUCCCACAGCAGUUCAGCUCCAGGUCACGGGAUGUAGAAUGAUGUGACCGGCUCCUGGGAACCCCGGCCCUUCCUCACCACCGCUGACCUCUGCUGCGAGGACCGGAGGACAAGUGUACAGAAGGCCCGUUACCCUGGAAGUCUCUAGCCAUCCCGACCUCCCAAGGAGGACUGUGAAAAGCACCCG